CGAGAGCGUCUGGGACAAGCAGAUGAAGCGCCGAGCCGCUGAACGACGGAACUACCGAUCUAUUCUGAUCUAAUAUAAUCGCUUUUUUACAUGGAGGAAAUGUCGAGAUGCCAUCAGUUUCUUCCUUGACACAUGGUUUGAUAGAAAGAUUGUUUAAGCUGAGACAAACAUGCAUACAUUUCGUGCUCAUUCUCUGCCCACAAUAUUAUUUAAUCGUCUGUUUCUAUCUAGUAUUCUUUGAGCCAAACUUUCAAGCAGUACUAAGUCCUAUCUCAUUUAUUGAAACAUGUGUUUGCAGCGGGAUCUGGUAGCUCAGCUGCCUUGGCAUUGGGUGGUCACUAUGGUUACUGGAGAAACCAGUUCAAAGAGACAAAUCAAUGAGGAAUGCAUCAUAAACUGCCUCCCAGUAGACCUCAUUGAGCGGAUAUUUUUUAGGCUUCCAGUUAGCACUCUGUUGAGGUGCGCAGGUGUGUGCAAGCACUGGUACAACUUUAUCCGGGAUCCCCUGUUUGUCGCAUCACACCUCCAGAAUGCGCACCGUUAUGCCCUUAUGUUCUUCCCACAAGGUUUGGUUUCAGGCGAGCCCCAUCCUAGUGAUGCUAUCCUAAUUGACGAAGCCUGGUCGCUGUCUACAUAUGCAGUGCCAGUGAUUGGGCCUGACGAUCUCCUCUUUGGUUCGUGCAAUGGUCUUCUUGGCUUAUACACAAAGACAUCAACAAUCAAGAUAGCUAACUUUGCAACUGGUGAAUGCAUGCAUCUUGCUAAACCUGGCAAGAAUAUGAGAGGUGAUCACUUUACUUUCUACAGCUUUGGAUUUCAUCCUGUGACAAAAGAAUACAAGAUUACACACUUCCUUGGUGACUGCGUUGAGGGUCGCCCCCGUAAUAAAGAUAAGUUUAGUAUUAUUCAAGUUUACACGCUUGGUGAUGAGAAAUGGAAAGAUAUCCCAACACCAGAAGCUCUUAGCUUGAACACUGUUAGGAACUCUGGGGUUGUCAAUGUCAAUGGAACAAUGUAUUCGUUAACUGAAAAUAUGAUAGCUAGCUGGCAGCAUGCAGUUAUGUCCUUUGAUCUCAGGGAAGAAAGUUUUGCGAUCAUAGCACUGCCAGCAGCACGUGAAGAUCAUGAUCAUUAUGGCCCUCGUAAGUUUUGGAUCAGAGAUAUAGAUGGGAAAUUGUGUAUGGUUACUGCUCAAACCCGUCGUUAUGAUGCCAGAUCUCUUGUUGGGGAGCUACAGAUCUGGACACUUGACAACAUGGCAGAGCAAAGGUGGAGCCAGAAGUACAAUAUUAAGAAUCCACCAAAUUACAUUCCAGGUCCACAUUUUGUUCACUGGGAUAGGAUCCUCACACAAUUGAGCAGCAGCGAUGUAGAUUCGUAUGAGUUGAUUGGUGAGAACAUUGAGAUUAGCUUCAGUAAGAUGGAAGAGCUGUUAGAUGUCAGCCCCCGUAAGCUGUACAACAUGCAAUCCUACAUCUGUGUGAAGUCACUUGUAUGUUUAGAUGUAUACAAGAAGGCUAGCAUUGUGCGUAGACCAAAACAGCAAGUAGGCUGGCAAUUGAAGAAGUGGGAGGCAUGGGAGCAUAAUCUUCGCGAGCUAGAGAAGUUGUGGGGCCACAGCCAAAAACAGGAGCAUCACUUAUCUGAAAUCGCAGAAAAAAUUGUUAAAAAGUAUCAGCCUUUCACAGAUAAGUUUCAUGCCAUAUCUGAAAAUCUACUCACAAUACGCAACCAGGUGUUGCAGCACAAGCCAGAAAAUCUCAAUCAGCCAAGGUUCCCCCGGCGACUUAAUUUGGUGGCACAGGAACGGGACAGGGAGGAGUUAUCGUCGCGUGUAAGUAAGAUAAGCGACAGUAUUGAGGCCAUUUCACAGGCACAGGAUAAUAUCUCUAGUAUUUUAAGAAGUCAUAUGUUGGAUCAGGAAGUGAUCGAGUAACCCCUCGACUAAUUCACCCAUAGAAUGGCGGCCUUGUUCUGAGAGUGUCAAUUGGAUGAAUGAUGCUCUCUCUAAAUGUGUUUGCAAUUGCUCCCCACGGACACCUUCCAUACUACAUCGGUUCUAUAUCAGUGAUAUAGGGUAAAUCAACCGCUAACGUUUCUUCCAGUGACGAUAAGAAGAACGAAUAAGAGAACCUUCCAUCUUGAACUUAGUUUUUUCUGGCACAUCUUGUUCCUGCCUGAAUUUCUUCCUGAGGGGUUUGUAAAUUCUGUCACGAGGAGACUCUUGCUCCCUUGGACUGGAUAUGUGCAACCAUUGUCUGUGCACUGAGUCGGCUUGUUCCAUUAGUUUGCUUGUCAUUGCAUUGCACUUUCAGCCUUUCAGUUCUCUCGUGCGUACAACAGCCCAGCACACAAUGCUGCUCUUCAGAGGGAUCCAACUGGAAUGGCGACCUUUGGCUGAAAAAGAAAU